UGGUUUAAUUCGAUGCAACGCGAAGAACCUUACCUGGUCUUGACAUCCACAGAACUUUCCAGAGAUGGAUUGGUGCCUUCGGGAACUGUGAGACAGGUGCUGCAUGGCUGUCGUCAGCUCGUGUUGUGAAAUGUUGGGUUAAGUCCCGCAACGAGCGCAACCCUUAUCCUUUGUUGCCAGCGAUUAGGUCGGGAACUCAAAGGAGACUGCCAGUGAUAAACUGGAGGAAGGUGGGGAUGACGUCAAGUCAUCAUGGCCCUUACGACCAGGGCUACACACGUGCUACAAUGGCGCAUACAAAGAGAAGCGACCUCGCGAGAGCAAGCGGACCUCAUAAAGUGCGUCGUAGUCCGGAUUGGAGUCUGCAACUCGACUCCAUGAAGUCGGAAUCGCUAGUAAUCGUGGAUCAGAAUGCCACGGUGAAUACGUUCCCGGGCCUUGUACACACCGCCCGUCACACCAUGGGAGUGGGUUGCAAAAGAAGUAGGUAGCUUAACCUUCGGGAGGGCGCUUACCACUUUGUGAUUCAUGACUGGGGUGAAGUCGUAACAAGGUAACCGUAGGGGAACCUGCGGUUGGA
rnacentral:rRNA from 1 species